rnacentral:rRNA from 1 species
GAUGAACGCUGGCGGCGUGCCUAAUACAUGCAAGUCGAGCGAACGGACGAGAAGCUUGCUUCUCUGAUGUUAGCGGCGGACGGGUGAGUAACACGUGGAUAACCUACCUAUAAGACUGGGAUAACUUCGGGAAACCGGAGCUAAUACCGGAUAAUAUUUUGAACCGCAUGGUUCAAAAGUGAAAGACGGUCUUGCUGUCACUUACAGAUGGAUCCGCGCUGCAUUAGCUAGUUGGUAAGGUAACGGCUUACCAAGGCAACGAUGCAUAGCCGACCUGAGAGGGUGAUCGGCCACACUGGAACUGAGACACGGUCCAGACUCCUACGGGAGGCAGCAGUAGGGAAUCUUCCGCAAAGGGCGAAAGCCUCACGGAGCAACGCCGCGUGAGUGAUGAAGGUCUUCGGAUCGUAAAACUCUGUUAUUAGGGAAGAACAUAUGUGUAAGUAACUGUGCACAUCUUGACGGUACCUAAUCAGAAAGCCACGGCUAACUACGUG